rnacentral:lncRNA from 1 species
GGCGCACUGUAGACUGCAUAGCAAGACCUGUUCGUAUCACCGUAUAGCCCAACACUUUGCAUGAGAACAUCUGCGUCGGAAACAUUACUUAUGACCAAGGUGUCCCCCACCCAAGGCGGCGAUGGUAAGAAACCACGCCCCCCGUGGUCGACGCUGUCAACUAGGGCGGCCGAAUCCCGGUUGCCUGGCUGGAUCCCUAAGCGAGACCGUCAUGAGGCCGGCUCUUCCUCCGGCACAACGCCCAAGCAGAGG